UUCCCUGCAAAUUUUAAAAUCGAGACCAAUCCAACCAACCAAUUUAUUUCAAUCAAUUUGAUACCAAAUUAUACUACUAUUAUAAUUAUACUAUUUAACAUAUUCAUCAUUCUUUACUUUAAUGUAUAUUUCUUAAACAAGUCUUAGUAUUUAUAUAAUCAUCAAACCUUAUACAUGCCAUAUAAAUCAAAAAGAAAUUUACAAAAGAUACCAGAGAUAAUCUGGAUAGUGUGAUCCUCUGUGUUGAUCCGAUCCUCCGUAUACUUCCACGUCAAUCUACAAGAGAUAUUGAUUACACUCAUGUAAGCUUAUAGAAGCUUAGUAAGUUCAUAGGCAUAAAACAUAAAUCUUACCAAAUAUUUAUACACUUAUACAAUAUACACAAUUAUUAAGUUCACCUGUCAACCACAGCCAUUGGUGAGUUCCCUUGUAUAAACUUACUACCACUUAUCCAUUUCCUUUAAUUCUUUUGGGCCCAUUUGUCACAUAUCAUUCUUUAACCAAAUUAGGGAAUGGUUACGGAAAAUUGAGUACUUCACUUUCACUUUGCCAUAGUAUAACUAUGGUCUUGCGUAUGAUCACUUAUCACCUUUUGAAGUCAU
rnacentral:lncRNA from 1 species